rnacentral:rRNA from 1 species
UACGUAGGGCGCAAGCGUUGUCCGGAAUUAUUGGGCGUAAAGAGCUCGUAGGCGGUUUGUCGCGUCUGCUGUGAAAACCUAAGGCUCAACCUUGGGCUUGCAGUGGGUACGGGCAGAUUAGAGUGCGGUAGGGGUGACUGGAAUUCCUGGUGUAGCGGUGGAAUGCGCAGAUAUCAGGAGGAACACCGAUGGCGAAGGCAGGUCACUGGGCCGCAACUGACGCUGAGGAGCGAAAGCAUGGGGAGCGAACAGG